GUUCAUACUUCUGCUGCGUCCAAGGAGUGUUGACAAAAAAGUGGGGCCUUGGAGGGGUAGAGGCCAAGGGACAGUUUCCCCUCUGCCCUUUGAAGUUCACUGAAAAUGAAUUUACAAUAGGCAGAUUAAUAAGAGGAAAAGGCAUACAAAUUCAUUUAAUGUGCAUAAGCACACAGGAAUUGCAAGAACAUGAUGACCUAAACCCAAUGAGGUCCAGAUGCUCAUACGCCUUUCUUCAUCAGGGAAGAGGAGAUGGAGGAGAAAGUGGCUGUUUUGAGGGGUAGAAAAUAAUUUUUUUUUUUUUUUGAGACGGAAUCUCACUCUUUCGCCAGGCUGGAGUGCAGUGGCAUGAUCUCGGCUCACUGCAACCUCCACCUCCUGGGUUCAAGCAAUUCUCCUGCCUCAGUCUCCCGAGUAGCUGAGACUACAGGCAUGUGCCACUACACCCAGCUAAUUUUUGUAUUUUUAGUAGAGACAGGGUUUCACCAUGUUGGCCAGGAUGGUCUCGAUCUCUUGACCUCGUGAUCCUCCCGCUUCGGCCUCCCAGUGCUGGGAUUACAGGCGUAAGCCACCACUCCUGGCCCAGCAAAUGAUUUUUAAGAGGAAUGAAUGGGCCCAAUGCUCCAGACAAUGGUUAGUAAAUAAUUAUCUUUGGAAAUGGAAUGGGACUUAAAAAUAGACAAUUUGGGUCAGUGCUCCGAAGUAUGGGUUGUAGGUGUGAUGUUUAAUUUUCAAUCUCUUCCUCUGUGAUAUGGGUUUUAAUCCUCUAGAUAAUGAAAUUUCAGGAAGGGGAUGGAAGGCAAUUGUGUUCCUCUUCGGCCAUCUGGUUUCUAGGUGGAUGAGGGAACUUCAGAGAACAGCCUUGUCCUGUGUUUUGGGAGAGACAAGGGAUUGAGAAACAGGAAGGUAGGAGGGGUAGGGAAGGUCAAGAGACCUUGAGGCUUCUUCUUUAGUCCAGCACGUCAAAGCACCAUAUUGGGGAGUAUCAUUUUCUGAGCCCCAACAGAGGUUGACACACCUGGGCCUAAGUCCCAGCUCCCCCAUUCAUUAGCAAGGAGUUGAACCCCUCAGAACGUGAGUUCUGUCUGUGCAGUGAAGGCAUGGGGUGCCCACAUGGUGGGUGUAGUGAGGCUGAGUUCUAGGCCCAGCACAGUGCCUGCCAUGAAGGAGGCACCCCAUCAUUUUCAUAAUGAUGAUUUCAUUGCUCUUUUACACGCAAUUAAAACUCACUAAUUCAGACCUAUCAGAGAGGGCAGUCAAUGGCUGGAAAGUCCACAUUAAAAAAUAAUUUUAAAAUAAUGUAGUUUUAUUGCUUUAAAAUAUAUUACUCGGUCCAGGCUAAUAAAGUGUUGCAUAGCAAGCCCUUGGGGGACUUGCAUUAAUGAACAAAUAAGAACAAUUUGAGGUUAGUCCAUCCAUUAUUGGCAUGGAACAGGGUGUCUCAGAAAGUAUUUGCAAAUGCCUCAAAACAAGGUAUUAUCUUCCACAGAUUAAGUGUUUCCCCUGCAAUCAUCAUGAUGCAUUUUCUUCAUUCACCAGUUUCUCUCUACCUGGAAAGUGCUCCAGGCAAGUUCAGCACAGGACUGACCAGAUUUUAACAGAUUCUCACUCAGUGAAGAUUGAGCAUAAGACAUUUCAUUGAGUUAGGUCGAGGCCCUUAUUUUAUAUUCUUUCCUUUCAGAGAAACCUGUUUCAGGGUGCACAUCUUGGCCUGCACCUCCCAGAGCUAGAAUUGUUUCCAUCAAACAGCAAAGAGGCUGUGCUUAGGAGCUUGGGCUCUGAACGCAGACAGAACUGGGUUCAAAUCCCAGCCAUCCCUAAGAUAACUUCCCUCACAAGGUUGCUAUAGGAUUAAAUUAGGUAUACAGCUCAAGUACCUGAGAGACACGAAAGUCAUGAAUGGCAGUGAAAGAGCAAAAGCUCUCCUGCAGCACAGGGACCACCAUAUCUAGAGGUGAGUCAGAAAGGCACGCACACAGACCUAGUGAACCUCUGAGGCAUAAGGAAUGCUGAAAUUAUUAUUCCUGGUGCUGGGCCAGUCCUUGGGUGAUGAUGAAAUUUGCCUCCAGAUAGGCUAUGAUUCCAAGGCAGGAGCCUAGGAAUUACUGUCAUUAUUAUUAUUAGCAACAAAAAUGACGGUUUAUAUUUUACAAGAGCUAUCUAGCUUCUCUCAAAAGCUCCACUGAGACAGUGUAUAUUUGAGGAAGGUUGUGCAAGGGCCACGGUAUCUGUUCCUCUGGGAAUUCCAAGUGUGGACUGGGUUCUCUCAUCAGAGAACCACAUCCCAGAAUUAGCCCAGCACCUGCAGAAAGGCCUUUUCUGAGUGAAGGUCUGAGUUAAGUCCUUGAUUCUACUCUGCCUCAGGGUAGAGAACCACCAGCGAAGGGGAAGUUCCUGGGACACCCUGAGAACCUGCCAUCAGUCACCGUUUAUUAAGCACUUAACUCUGGAUGGGGGCUGGCGCUCUGUGAUUGCCUGACUUUAUCCUCAUUACAUUCAGCCCAUAAUGUCAAUGUCAGACCAUUGGCCCUCCCACCCCGCUUCAUCAGAGGAGGGAGCUGUGUCCCAGAAGGCAGGGGGGACUUGCUCAAAGUCACAGAGCUGGUAUAAAUAAACACAGCAUGCCAGUCUUCAUUUUUUCUUUUCUUUUUUUUUUUUUUUUUUUGAGACAGGAUCUUGCUCUGUCGCCCAGGCUGGAGGGCAGUGGUGCAAUCUCAGCUCACUGCAACCUCCGCCUCCCGGGUUCAAACGAUUCUGCUGCCUCAGCCUCCCAAGUAGCUGGGACUACAGGUGUGUGCCACCACGCCCAGCUGAAUUUUUUAUUUUUAGUAGAGUCGGGGUUUCCCUACAUUGGCCAGGCUGCUAUCCAACUCCUGGCCUCAAGUCAUCCACCUGCCUCGGCCUCCCAAAGUGCUGGUGAGAGGUGACAGAGUGCUGGCACUCCUCAGAGCCCUCGCUUGCUCUCGGCACCUCCUCUGCCUGGGCUCCAACUUUGGCGGCACUUGAGGAGCACUUCAGCCCACCGCUGCACUGUGGUAGCCCCUUUCUGGGCUGGCCAAGGCCAGAGCCGGCUCCCUCAGCUUGCAGGGAGGUGUGGAGGGAGAGGCACGAGCAGGAACCCGGGCUGCGCGCGGCGCUUGUGGGCCAGCUGGAGUUCCGGGUGGGCGUGGGCUUGGCGGGCCGCACUCGGAGCAGCCAGCUGGCCCUGCCGGCCCCAGGCAAUGAAGGACUUAGCACACGGGCCAGCGGCUGCAGAGGGUGUACUGGGUCCCCCAGCAGUGCCAGCCCACAGGCGCUGUGCUCGAUUUCUCACCGGGCCUUAGCUGCCUUCCCGCGGGGCAGGGCUGGGGACCUGCAGCCCGCCAUGCCUGAGCCUCCCACCUGCUCCAUGGGCUCCUAUGCAGCCCGAGCCUCCCCGAUGAGUGCCGCCCCCUGCUCCACAGCGCCCAGUCCCAUCGAUCACCCAAGGGCUGAGGAGUGCGAGCGCACUGCGCGGGACUGGCAGGCAGCUCCACCUGCAGCCCUGGUGCGGGAUCCACUGGGUGAAGCCAGCUGGGCUCCUGAGUCUGGUGGGGCGGUGGAGAACCUUUAUGUCUAGCUCAGGGAUUGUAAAUACACCAAUCGGCACUCUGUAUCUAGCUCAAGGUUUGUAAACACACCAGUCAGCACCCUGUGUCUAGCUCAGGGUUUGUGAAUGCACCAAUUGACACUCUGUAUCUAGCUGCUCUGGUGGGGCCUUGGAGAACCUUUGUGUCCAUACUCUGUAUCUAACUAAUCUGAUGGGGAUGUGGAGAACCUUUAUGUCUAGCUCAGGGAUUGUAAACGCACCAAUCAGCGCCCUGUCCGCACAGACCACUCGGCUCUACCAAUCAGCGGGAUGUGGGUGGGGCCAGAUAAGAGAAUAAAAGCAGGCUGCCCGAGCCAGCAGUGGCAACCCGCUCGGGUCCCCUUCCACACUGUGGAAGCUUUGUUCUUUUGCUCUUUGCAAUAAAUCUUGCUGCUGCUCACUCUUUGGGUCCACACUGCUUUUAUGAGCUGUAACACUCACCACAAAAGUCUGCAGCUUCAGUCCUGAAGCCAGCGAGACCACGAGCCCACCAGGAAGAACAAACAAACUCCAGACACGCCACCUUAAGAGCUGUGACACUCACCACGAGGGUCCGCGGCUUCAUUCUUGAAGUCAGUUGAGACCGAGAACCCACCAAUUCCGGACACACUGGGAUUACAGGUGUGAGCCACUGCGCCCAGCCAAGCAUGCCAUUCUUUAGAAGAUGUUCUCUCCUGGCACAUCUCAGUUUCUACAAAGGCCCCCAGCCCUUCCUGGAGACCCCUGGGGCGAAGUUCUCUCACCCUUCUUCACAUGCCCAUAACAACUCACCUCCCUCUCUCUUAGAGCCCCCGUCCUGCCCUUCCUUGAAUUCUGGUCAUGCUCAUGUUUGCCAUAGCUCCCCAAGGAAGACAGCCUCUGAGUCAGGUCUGACAUUGUCUGUCCUUAAAGAAGGCACUUAACACAUAUUUGUCAACUGAAUUAAUAAAAAUUUCCCACAGGGCCUUGGAAGAAAUUUUGUACCUGUUUGCCUCUGCUGGAUGACGCACUCUGAACACAGCUACCUAAAAGUGGAAGGAAGGAGGCCGGGCAGGGUGGCUCACGCCCAUAAUCCCAGCACCUUGGGAGACUGAGUCAGGUGGAUCACUUGAGCUCAGGAGUUUGAGACCAGCCUAGGCAACAUGGCGAAAUCCUGUCUCUACAAAAAAAAUUUAAAACUUAGGCAUGGUGGCACGUGCCUGUAGUCCCAGCUACUCAGGAGUCUGAGGUGGGAGGAUUGCUUGAGCCUAGGAGGUGGAGGCUGCAGUGAGCCGAAAUCACAUCACUGCCCUCCAGCCUGAGCAACAGAGCAAGACCCAAUCUCAAAAAAAAAAAAAAAAAAAAAAAGGCUAAAAGGAAGGACUGUUUUGAGCUGAGGCAACCCCAAGGACUGGUGACAUUCCCUGGGUCUCCCCUGCCAGCCUCGUGUCAUACCCCAAGAGAGGCUGGGACACAUCUGUGAAACAGGAUGCUGAACAGCGGAACACAGCGGACUUGAGCCAGCCUAAGUGGGUUUCUGCUCCUUGCAACAAGAGGCCUGAAUAGAAGCCCCUUCUUCAGGGGAGUGGGCAUCAGCUCAGAAAGAGGAUCCCAUGGGAACUGACUUUGCUGGUGACCAAGGCCCUACCACCAGGGCACCCUGCCCAUGUAUCCCAAGCAGAGGGAGCAGAACCAGCGGUGUAACUACUGUGCUUGACACCCAGGGCAGGUCUUUUUUUAACUCACCGAUCUUCCAUGCAACAAAAUUGUUUUCUGUGAAAAGCAGGAAAUGAAUAACAACAGCGUAGGUACUCCACUUCAAAUUUCCCAAGAAAUUCAGAAGAAUUGUGAACAAGUUGCUGGUUUCACAAUACUGCAAGACACUGCAAGUUAUUCCAAGUUCCUACAGGACAACGAUGCACAAUUAUUUACUUACUUAUGUUUAAAUAUACCUAUCAGUUUGACUUUCAUCCUUUGGUGACAUUCUAAUAAUUUAUGUAAAUAAUUAUUCAGAGACCAAUGAGAGGAUUUUAAUAAGUGCAAAAUGUUAGCAGACGGUACAACAUUGAUAAAUCUAUGGUCUGUAUUUUGUUCUGCCAUUUCAAAAUAAUUAAAAAGUAAGUUUCAAUUUAAAAACAUUAUUGAAAUUCAGUAAAAUAUUUCAAGCAUGAACUAAAAUAUACACUUACUAAACACAAAUAUUACACCUCACAUUUCAUACUCUGUUUCAUUGUUUUAAAUUUUAAACAGAAAUAACUCCACCGGCCACCUAGAAUGAUCAAAUCAGGCAACUCAAGUUACUUUGUUUCAUCUUCACAAUCACUGUGCUAUCAUUGUUCAUUUUGAAUCUACUUUUUAAAAGCAAGAAUAUUUGAUACCAGAUACCAGACACAAAUUAUACCUGAAAAGGAUGUCAUUUUAGGAUUUGUGUCCCACCUAAAGGAUACAAUUCUGUACCCUGACAAUGUUAUUCUAGAAAUAAAUGCCUAUGAGUGAGUCUUGUUUCAAGAGCCAACUCUACAACUAGGAGUUCCCCCAAAGUAACUUCCAUGUGCAAUAAAGUUUUUAUUAAAGGAUAAGUAUUAAAAUUGUCCUAAGCAGAAAACCAAACACUGCAUGUUCUCACUCAUAGGUGGGAAUUGAACAAUGAGAACACUUGGACACAGGGUGGGGAACAUCACACACCAGGGCCUGUCGUGGGGUGGGGGUAGCGGGGAGGGAUAGCAUUGGGAGAUAUACCUAAUGUAAAUGACGAGUUAAUGGGUGCAGCACACCAACAUGGCACAUGAAUACAUAUGUAACAAACCUGCACGUUGUGCACAUGUACCCUAGAACUUAAAGUAUAAUUAAAAAAAUAAAUAAAUAAAAAUUUUUAA
rnacentral:lncRNA from 10 species